GGCCCAGAGGUAGUGAGUUAUCUCACUUGAUUGUUCACAGUCAUUAACAGAUUGAGCUCCUGUUCUACUCUUCGCCCCUUCUCACUACUGCAUUUGACUAGUCUUUA
rnacentral:Y_RNA from 1 species